GCCCCGUGGCCCCGCCCGUGCCACCGCCGUGGCUCCGCCCGCACCGGGCGGGCUCCGAGCCGGGCGGGCCCGGGGCAAAGCCUCCCGCGGCCGGCGGGGCUCUGCAGGGAUGCGGCUCUCAGCGGCCUCCCCCGGCGCUGGGAAUGCCGCAUCAGCGUCUUCUCCCGGUGCCGCGGAUGCCAGGGCCGCUGUCCUCCCCCGCUGUCCUCCCCCGGUGUCCUCCCCCGGUGUCCUCCCCCGGUGUCCUCCCCAGCCGCACGGUCCGAACGGGGUUUGGGCCCUGCCCCCGCAUCCUUCCCCGGCUGCUCCUCGGGGCCGGGAAGGGUUUUCCGGAGUUUCGGCGGAGGAAGGUGGGCUGUCCCCACUGUCCCCACUGCAGGUUGUGCAAACCCGCAGCUGACGAACCCCGACGUUAGUAGUUGUCUGUGUUAAUAGUCACGAGGAGCUCUGAAAUUCCCAUGACAAAGCUGGGACCGCAGAUUCCCGUUUCCAGGCCAGAAAGGCGUAGCUCGGUGUACACCACCCCUGCUGUAACCUUCCCUCUGCGGGGAGUUUCCGAGCAGGCAGCGAGGGCUAUAAGAGUGGGACUCGGGCACGGGCAGGGCAGAAGCCAUUGAGCGAGCAUGGAGCACUGCACACAUGGAGACUGCACUGGCAGCCAAAAGGGACAGCUUUUGCUCUUCCAGUGCAGACGUGGACAGGGGACUUGGCCCCGCCGUCUGCUUCCAUGGGUAGAGCCCACAGUCCAGCUGGGAGAUGAAGGAUGAGACCUCGCUGACACUUCUUCUUUCUCCUCUUGCAUUGCCCCCCACCCACCGGAGGAAGCCGAGCAUGGAGGGGGCCCAGCCUCAGCUCUGCUCGGGAAGGAAGCAGGAGGGAGGUCAGCGAGAGUCGGCAACAACAUUAUCCACAUUGCAGCUGGCGUGGGACACUUCUGCUGGCACAGAGGAGCUCUGCCAUCCCUCCUCUCACAGGAGUGUUUCAUGGUUGGGAGGUACCAAAUAACUCCCGUAAAAUGCUGUCCCAGGUACGCUCUGCUUCACACUGCCAAUUCUGGGACAGGAAUUUUGGUAUUUCUGCAACAACCUUACUGUCUGUCUUGUCCAAAACAACAAAAUAAACAAAGCUGUGUCUA